rnacentral:lncRNA from 1 species
GGAUCAAGUUCUCCUAACCCGAAGCUUGCUCCUAGGAUUCUUCAGUAAUUCGACUUCUAAAUUCUAGUAAGUUCUUGUUUUAUUGUUCUUUGGUUUAUGAGUUUACUUUAAUCUCUUCCGGUUGACUUUAGAGUAAUCAUUGCUAGCGUAAACGUGGUGUUUGGGCUAGGGUACUCAUAGAUAUCCCCUGACUAGCUGGACCGUGGUAGUAGCGAGGAACGUGACAUUUCCGAGUUACCUUUGCAUCCCAUAUCUUGUUAGCAGGACGGGUAGGUUUAUAGGUGCGGGUCGAACAUCCUUUGUGGUGUCUAGAUUCCGUAAGCUUCCCCAAUAGAAUAGUAGAUCGUCCUUACCAAGGUUAGAACGAGACGACAGUUGAAGUCUUCUCUAUACAUCGCUCACAUCCAGAAACAUUCUUUGUAGCCUAAAGGGUAGUAGCAAUAGAUUUGGUUAGUCAGAUGCACACGUUCUCCCAGUGGUAAAAAUAUAAAUACGAUACUCUGGAUAACCUCCCGGGUGAAGUGCUCACCUAUAUCCAUGCGCUUGCGGAUCAUUUCUUGAUGGUGUUACCAAAUAUCAACAAGCAUUUCUGGCGCCGUUGCCGGGGAGAAAGACGGUUUGCUGAGAUAACUUUAAGUCUUGCUAUUAUCUUGUAUUAUACUUUUAUACUUUUUAUACUUUUAUCUUUUUAUUUUUUCCAUGUUUGUGGAUAACUUAAAUUCCACAUCUAUUAUUGAAUUCUUUGCACCUUUGGAGACCAGCCAUAGACCAUGGGAGUCAAUAAGUCCUUUCUUUGCCCCUAAUUAUGAUCUGUGUUCGGAGUUGAUUGCAAUAGGUCAAAACCAACCCUUUUCUAUAGC